rnacentral:tmRNA from 1 species
GGGGGUGAAAGGGUUCGACAGCAUUGCCGAAGGAAGGCUACAAGCGGAGCCAGUCAGCUCCUAAAACUGGCUACAUUUCUCUAAUAAAUGCCAACGAUAAACUGGCAACCGCUUUUGGCGGAAUUGGCAACGCUACCGGCGAAUUCAGUAACUCUACUGUCGCCGCAGGUACGUUAGCUUAAGCCAAAAGUGGCGUUCCUUCUGCUCUCUGCUCGUAGGAGCUUAAGGAACGACGAUUAUACGAGCUUACCUUCUGCUUUAGCUCUGAAGUAGAAGGGAAAUCUUUAAGAGCUCGGGGUUAGAGCUGGCUGUUCCGUGCCUCUCUGUCCCUUAAAUCUAAAACGGGACUAAGCUUGUAAAUGCUAAACGGAGGCAAUGCUGGACGCGGGUUCGAUUCCCGCCACCUCCACCA